rnacentral:lncRNA from 1 species
GAAUCCAAAAAUAACCGCCCGAAGGCCGGGGCGCCAAGUUCGUCCAGCGGAAAAAGGCCACAAAAACGGGUGGGCUAUAGCCUCUGGGGGUGGAACUGGCCCACUUCGUCCGCCGGCCUCGGAAUGCCGCGAGACUUUGCGAGGGGCCUCCAUGCGCCAAAAAUAGGCCGCGGACAAAGCGGGGCCCAAAAAUAACCGCCCGAAGGCCGGGACGCCAAGUUCGUCCAGCGGAAAAAGGCCACAAAAACGGGUGGGCUAUAGCCUUUGGGGGUGGAACUGGCCCACUUCGUCCGCCGGACUCGGAAUGCCGCGAGACUUUGCGAGGGGCCUCCAUGUGCCAAAAAUAGGCCACGGACAAAGCCGGGCCCAAAAAUAACCGCCCGAAUGCCGGGACGCCAAGUUCGUCCAGCGGAAAUAGGCCACAAAAACGGGUGGGCUAUAGCCUUGGGGGAUGGGGCUGACCAACUUCGUCCGCCGGACUCGGAAUGCCGUGAGACUUUGCGAGGGGCCUCUGUGUGCCAAAAAUAGUCCGCCGGCAAAGCCGCGCCCAAAAAUAACCGCCCGAAGGAAGGGGCUCCAAGUUCGUCCAGCGGAAAAAGGCCACAAAAAAGGGUGGGCGAUAGCCUUGGCGGGUGGGGCUGGCCAACUUCGUCCGCCGGACUCGGAAUGCUGCGAGACUUUGCGAGGGGCCUCCGUGUGCCAAAAAUAGGCCGCGGGCAAAGCCGCGCCCAAAAAUAACAGCCCCAAGGCCGGGGCGCCAAGUUCAUCCAGCGGAAAAAGGCCACAAAAACGCGUGGGCUAUAGCCUUGGGGGGUGGGGCUGGCCAACUUCGUCCGCCGGACUCGGAAUGCCGCGAGACUUUGCGAGGGGCCUCUGUGUGCGAAAAAUAGGCCGCGGGCAAAGCCGCGGCCAAAAAUAACCGCCUGAAGGUCGGGGCGCCAAGUACGUCCAGCGGAAAAAGGCCACAAAAACGGGUGGGCUAUAGCCUUGGGGGGUGGGGCUGGCCAACUUCGUCCGCCGGACUCGGAAUGCCGCGAGCCUUUGCGAGGGGCCUCCAUGUGCCAAAAAUAGGCCGCGGGCAAAGCCAAAUAUAAUAAUAACCACCCGAAGGCCGGGGCGCCAAGUUCGUCCAGCGGAAAAAGGCCACAAAAACGGGUGGGCUAUAGCCUUGGGGGGUGGGACCGGCCCACUUCGUCCGCCGGACUCGGAAUGCUCCGAGACUUUGCGAGGCGCCUCCGUGUGCAAAAAAUAGGCCGCGGGCAAAGCCGGGCCCAAAAAUAACUGCCCCAAGGCCGGGGCGCCAAGUUCGUCCAGCGGAAAAAGGCCACAAAAACGGGUGGGCUAUAGCCUUGGCGGGUGGGGCUGGCCAACUUUGUCCGCCGGGCUCGGAAUGCUCCGAGACUUUGCGAGGGGCCUCCGUCUGCCAAAAAUAGGCCGCGGGCAAAGCCGCGCCCAAAAAUAACCGCCCGAAGGCCGGGGCGCCAAGUUCUUCCAGCGGAAAAAGGCCACAAAACGGGUGGGCUAUAGCCUUGGGGGGUGGGGCUGGCCAAUUUCGUCCGCCGGACUCAGAAUGCCGAGAGAUUUUGCGUGGGGCCUCCGUGUGCCACAAAUAGGCCGCGGACAGAGCCGGGCCCAAAAAUAACCGUCCGAAGGCCGGGGCGCCAAGUUCGUCCGGCGGAAAAACGCCACAAAAACGGGUGGGCUAUAGCCUUGGGGGGUGGGGCUGGCCAACUUCGUCCGCCGGACUGGGAAUGCUGCGAAACUUUGCGAGGGGCCUCCGUGUGCCAAAAAUAGGCCGCGGGCAAAGCCGCGCCCAAAAAUAACUGCCCCAAGGCCGGGGCGCCAAGUUCAUCCAUCGGAAAAAGGGCACAAAAACGGGUGGGCUAUAGCCUUGGGGGGUGGGACUGGCCCACUUCGUCCGCCGGACUCGGAAUGCCGCAAGAUUUUGCGAGGGGACUUCGUGUGCCAAAAAUAGGCCGCGGGGAAAGCCGCGUCCAAAAAUAACCGCCCGAAGGCCGGGGCUCCAGGUUCGUCCAGCGGAAAAAGGCCACAAAAAAGGGUGGGCUAUAGCCUUGGGGGGUGGGGCUGGCCAACUUCGUCCGCCGGACUCAGAAUGCCGCGAGAUUUUGCGAGGGGCCUCCGUGUGCCAAAUUAGGCCGUGGACAAGGCGGGUCCCAAAAAUAACCGCCCGAAGGCCGGGGCUCCAAGUACGUCCAGCGGAAAAAGGCCACAAAAAAGGGUGGGCGAUAGCCUUGGCGGGUGGGGCUGGCCAACUUCGUCCGCCGGACUCGGAAUGCCGCGAGACUUUACGAGGGGCCUCCGUGUGCCAAAAAUAGGCCGCAGGGAAAGCCGCGUCCAAAAAUAACCGCCCGAAGGCCGGGGCUCCAAGUUCGUCCAGCGGAAAAAGGCCACAAAAAAGGGUGGGCUAUAGCCUUGGGGGGUGGGGCUGGCAAACUUCGUCCGCCGGACUCGGAACUGCGAGACUUUGCGAGGGGCCUCCGUGUGCAAAAAAUAGGCGGCGGGCAAAGGCGCACCCAAAAAUAACUGCCCGAAGGCCGGGGCGCCAAGUUCGUCCAGCGGAAAAAGGCCACAAAAACGCGUGGGCUAUAGCCUUGGGGGGUGGGGCUGGCCAACUUCAUCCGCCGGACUCGGAAUGCCGCGAGACUUUGCGAGGGGCCUCCGUGUGCCGAAAAUAGGCUGCGGGCAAAGCCGCGCCCAAAAAUAACCGCCCGAAGGCCGGAGCGCCAAGUUCGUCCAGCGGAAAAAGGCCCCAAAAACGGGUGGGCUAUAGCCUCGGGGGGUGGGGCUGGCCAACUUAGUCCGCCGGAGUCAGAAUGCCGCGAGAUUUUGUGAGGGACCUCCGUGUGCCAAAAAUAGGCCGCGGACAAGGCCGGGCCCAAAAAUAACUGCCCGACGGCCGGGGCUCCAAGUUCGUCCGGCGGAAAAACGCCACAAAAACGGGUGGGCUAUAGCCUUGGGGGGUUGGGCUGGCCAACUUCGUCCGCCGGACUCGGAAUGGUGCUAGAUUUUGCAAGGGGCCUCCGUGUGCCAAAAAUAGGCCGCGGACAAAGCCGGGCCCAAAAAU